AGUGAACGCUGGCGGUAGGCCUAACACAUGCAAGUCGAACGGCAGCACAGUAAGAGCUUGCUCUUACGGGUGGCGAGUGGCGGACGGGUGAGGAAUACAUCGGAAUCUACUUUUUCGUGGGGGAUAACGUAGGGAAACUUACGCUAAUACCGCAUACGACCUACGGGUUAAAGCAAGGGAUCUUCGGACCUUUCGCGAUUGAAUGAGCCGAUGUCGGAUUAGCUAGUUGGCGGGGUAAAGGCCCACCAAGGCGACGAUCCGUAGCUGGUCUGAGAGGAUGAUCAGCCACACUGGAACUGAGACACGGUCCAGACUCCUACGGGAGGCAGCAGUGGGGAAUAUUGGACAAUGGGCGCAAGCCUGAUCCAGCCAUACCGCGUGGGUGAAGAAGGCCUUCGGGUUGUAAAGCCCUUUUGUUGGGAAAGAAAAGCAGCAGGUUAAUACCCCGCUGUUCUGACGGUACCCAAAGAAUAAGCACCGGCUAACUUCGUG
rnacentral:rRNA from 1 species